GACCUCAGUCAGCAGAGCAUGAGACUCUUGAUCUCAGAGCUGUGGGUUCCAGCCCCACGUUGGGCA